GAGUGACAACCGUGUCCUUGGCUCGCGACUCGAUUGACUCGAGGUUAUCUAUUGUAUAUACGGCCUCAUACAGCCUCAAAUUGAAGCAUAUUCUUCCAAAAAAUAAUAUAAGAUCUUCGAGUUAGCUUCGUCGAUCACUCCGGCGUUCCAUUGCGUUUUGGCGAUGAAAAGCAGCGGUGCAUGGAGCUCGUACAACGUCAUUCCUUCAAGAACGAGACAGUGAGGCUCGACAACAUCCAAUACCUGCAGCAGUAACUUACACAUAUCAAUUUUAUGCUCCAAUACGAUGUCUGGUAGAUCAUCUAGGAGGUACUCAUCAACACGACCAUACAUCUGUGUUAACGAAUGCCUGAAAGUAAA